rnacentral:rRNA from 1 species
AUACGUAGGGUGCAAGCGUUAAUCGGAAUUACUGGGCGUAAAGCGUGCGCAGGCGGUUUUGUAAGACAGUGGUGAAAUCCCCGGGCUCAACCUGGGAACUGCCAUUGUGACUGCAAGGCUAGAGUGCGGCAGAGGGGGAUGGAAUUCCGCGUGUAGCAGUGAAAUGCGUAGAUAUGCGGAGGAACACCGAUGGCGAAGGCAACUCCCCUGGGCCUGCACUGACGCUCAUGCACGAAAGCGUGGGGAGC